UACGUAGGGGGCAAGCGUUGUCCGGAAUUAUUGGGCGUAAAGCGCGCGCAGGCGGUUAUGUAAGUCUGAUGUAUAAACUUAGGGGUCAACCCUGGGGUGCAUUGGAAACUGGAUGACUGGAGUGUAGGAGAGGGAAGUGGAAUUCCACGUGUAGCGGUGAAAUGCGUAGAGAUGUGGAGGAACACCAGUGGCGAAGGCGGCUCUCUGGUCCGAUACUGACGCUGAGGUGCGAAAGCGUGGGGAGCAAACAGG
rnacentral:rRNA from 1 species